CAUGCACACCUGUGUGCUUGCGGUGUCGGUGGAGGCAUUGAUGAAUCAUCAAUCAACGAUCAGCAAAUAUGUUUUUAGUUACGGUUCAUCCAACACAAUCGUCUGAUCAAUCUGUUUUCCCAUCUUCAUGUCGUGUUCAUGCAUGUAGUGUAAUCAUCCUAUUCAUGUGUUGUGUUGUGGUCUUACUGUUAUUUACCACUCUAUAGAUAACUAUCAGUUCAUCUUCUAAGACUUGGAAUGCAUCGAUAAAAUACCAUAAUAAUAUCGAUAUUGAGGUUGAAAUCCCUAGAGGCAAAGUUGAUUUGUCAAUAGUACCCACGUGGACACACACAUUAACGUUCCAUACAUUAAUGUGUAGUACUAGGUGGUACGGUGCAUCCCUCAUAAUAAUUAAUGCUGAUCCAUGUAGCUUCAGGUUCUCUGCCUCUCAAUAAGAAUCCAAACCAAACGGUUAGUGGAUGUGGCCAUCAGGUCACUAGGGUUAUAGUUAGGGGUGAGUGUUAGACACAGGAUUAGGAGUUAGCACCGCUGAACUCUGUGCUGAUGGGGGUUUAUUUAGACACGCCUUCAACGGCUUAGUAAAUUGUGUUAUGGUUAGGCACCACAGUAAAACCCAGACUGUGUUUAUGUUAUGAAGGUAAGGGGGGGAUGUGAUUACGCUAAGUGUCACAGUAAUGCUGUGGUCUUCGGAAAAGUCCAGUGAUUGAAUUUGUUUGUUUUUCCCUGCAGAGGAAAUGGUAGAGGAGAUGGAACACAGCUAUUAAACACAAACAUCCCCUUUGGAUAAAAGCAUCUGUUAAAGAACUAUAUGUAAUACAGCAGAAAGAAAACAGUUUGCUCACAAGUUUGGAACCUUUGACAAACAAUUUCAUAUCGUUUUUUAAAGUAAU